UGCCAGCCGCCGCGGUAAUACGGGGGGUGCAAGCGUUGUUCGGAAUUAUUGGGCGUAAAGCGUGCGUAGGCGGACUAUUAAGUCUGAUGUGAAAUCCCUCGGCUCAACCGAGGACCUGCGCUUAAUACUGGAAGACUAGAAAACGGAAGAGGGUAGUGGAAUUCCCAGUGUAGAGGUGAAAUUCGUAGAUAUUCGGAGGAACACCAGUGGCGAAGGCGGCUAACUGGCUCGGUACUGACGCUGAGAUGCGAAAGCGUGGGGAGCAAACAGGAUUAGAUA
rnacentral:rRNA from 1 species